UGGAUCAUCUCUUGGCUUAUUUUACUAAG
rnacentral:piRNA from 1 species